rnacentral:rRNA from 1 species
GAUGAGCUCGCGUCCUAUCAGCUUGUUGUUGGGGUAAUGGCCUACCAAGGCGAAGACGGGUAGCUGGUCUGAGAGGAUGGUCAGCCACAUUGGGACUGAGACACUGCCCAGACUCCUACGGGAGGCUGCAGUCGAGAAUCUUUAGCAAUGGGCGCAAGCCUGACUAUGCGACGUCGCGUGAGGGAUGAAGGCCUUCGGGUUGUAAACCUCUUUCGAUUAGGAAGAAUACUCUUGGUACUAAUAGUAUCAAGAAAUGACGUUACUAAGAGAAGAAGCCACGGCCAACUCCGUGCCAGCAGCCGCGGUAAUACGGAGGUGGCAAGCGUUACUCGGAUUCAUUGGGUGUAAAGGGCAGGUAGGUGUCCUGGCAAGUAGGAGGUGAAAUCCUUCGACUCAAUCGAAGAACUGCCUUCUAAACUGCUAGGAUUGGGUGUGAGAGAGGAAAGUGGAAUUCUCGGUGUAAGGGUGAAAUCUGUAGAUAUCGAGAGGAACACCAGUAGCGAAGGCGACUUUCUGGAUCACUACUGACACUGAGCUGCGAAAGCUAGGGGAGCAAACAGGAUUAGAUACCCUGGUAGUCCUAGCCGUAAACGAUGAGUACUUGGUGUCUUGGGUUAGACCAAGGUGCUCGAUAGUUCACACAUUAAGUACUCCACC